UAUGUGUGUAUGUCUGUGUGUGGUUGUUGCUAUUUUUUGACAGGGUCUGCGUAUGUCACACAGGUUGGCUUGGAACUAUGUAACCCAGGCUGCCUUAGCCUCCAAGAUGUGUUUAAAUUACAGGCAUGAACCACCACAACCCUCCACCUCUGUUUUCUCUCAGAAUAAACACAUCCAGAAAAACAAGCAAAUGGAAACAGUGAAAUUUAUCACUGCAAUGGGUACAACGGACACACAACUCCAAAGAGAACUGGACAAAGCAAGGACACAGAGAAGAAGGUGCUUCAGGACUUCAGAAAUGCUUGGAAAGAAGGCCUUCUCAGAAGCCAUACUUAUGCUCCACCUAAGAGAAAUAGGCCUGCAUUGA
rnacentral:lncRNA from 1 species